rnacentral:rRNA from 1 species
UGGGGAAUUUUGGACAAUGGGGGAAACCCUGAUCCAGCCAUCCCGCGUGUGCGAUGAAGGCCUUCGGGUUGUAAAGCACUUUUGGCAGGAAAGAAACGUCGCGGGUUAAUACCCCGCGGAACUGACGGUACCUGCAGAAUAAGCACCGGCUAACUACGUGCCAGCAGCCGCGGUAAUACGUAGGGUGCAAGCGUUAAUCGGAAUUACUGGGCGUAAAGCGUGCGCAGGCGGUUCGGAAAGAAAGAUGUGAAAUCCCAGAGCUUAACUUUGGAACUGCAUUUUUAACUACCGGGCUAGAGUGUGUCAGAGGGAGGUGGAAUUCCGCGUGUAGCAGUGAAAUGCGUAGAUAUGCGGAGGAACACCGAUGGCGAAGGCAGCCUCCUGGGAUAACACUGACGCUCAUGCACGAAAGCGUGGGGAGCAAACAGGAUUAGAUACCCUGGUAGUCCACGCCCUAAACGAUGUCAACUAGCUGUUGGGGUCUUCGGACCUUGGUAGCGCAGCUAACGCGUGAAGUUGACCGCCUGGGGAGUACGGUCGCAAGAUUAAAACUUAAAGGAAUUGACGGGGGUGCAUAGCU